GAGCUCGUAGGCGGUUUGUCGCGUCUGCUGUGAAAGCCCGGGGCUUAACCCCGGGUGUGCAGUGGGUACGGGCAGACUUGAGUGCAGUAGGGGAGACUGGAAUUCCUGGUGUAGCGGUGAAAUGCGCAGAUAUCAGGAGGAACACCGAUGGCGAAGGCAGGUCUCUGGGCUGUUACUGACGCUGAGGAGCGAAAGCAUGGGGAGCGAACAGGAUUAGAUACCCUGGUAGUCCAUGCCGUAAACGUUGGGCACUAGGUGUGGGGAACAUUCCACGUUUUCCGCGCCGUAGCUAACGCAUUAAGUGCCC
rnacentral:rRNA from 1 species